rnacentral:lncRNA from 1 species
GAUUGCAGAUCAUGGAUAAAUUGUCAAACCUCAUCAUCAGUCAUAUGAUAGAUUCGAUCAGCUCCAAUUCAAUUAUAAUUUUUAUGAAAAUUCUUUUUCAUCAAUCAUACUGCUUGACUACAGACUUAUGAACUUGCCUCUCAAAUCUCAUAGGACUACUCUUUUCUAUCAAGAUCAAUAGAUUCUAUCUAGAUACGCAUCCUGCUCCUACAGUGGACCAACUAUUUCUAACAUCCACUGUAAAAAUUUAAUGAGACCAUGUUUAUGUGUCAGUCAAACUCUAGCAGCCUCAACAUGAGCAACCAUAUCAUCAUAGGUCAAAAAACUAUUCACACAACUAUAGCAUCGAGAUGAUUACUAA